GCAGGCAAAAUGUGGUGUUUUUGCUCAGUAGGAGAGGGGUUUUCCCCUCAUGCUGUCAUCUAUGAAUGGAGCUGAAUGGAGAAACUGCAGGAACUCUUUGGAGUGGCACUGCUGCCUUCUGUGCAUUCUGAGACGCUGAAGCCAUCCAUCACAUGAUGCCCCUUCCUUUUAUGGUCAGAGACGCAGGGCAUCCUGAACUUGUGACUGGUCAGCUUUGUUUACCAGGUACCAGGAAAACCCCAGACUGACGAGCAUGGCUACAAAUACAGACCAGGGAAAUGAGGGGAAAUGAAGUAAAGUGAGGUAAACACAUGGUAAAUAGAAGUGUUGUUUUGUCAGAAUGAGCAGGGCACACCUGGGUGACUGGGACUGAGGCAGGUCCUGUCUCUCUUAGGGUCUUGAAGGAGUCAUUGUUUGGCAGAUUCUGGGUGGUGUUCCUUAAAGACCGGGUGCAGCUGUCACCAUUAAGCAGGGUCAUGGAAAGGUCUGGUCAGCUGGGCUUGAAGAUGGAGGCAGGUGAACUGCGGCACUAAUUUGUCAGCCAAAUAUACCGUAGUGCUAGUGGAUGAGUUAACGUUAUCCCCUGCCAUCCAGCAACUUUGAAAGAAAUACUAA